rnacentral:rRNA from 1 species
AUUACUCCUACGGGAGGCAGCAGUGGGGAAUAUUGCACAAUGGGGGAAACCCUGAUGCAGCAACGCCGCGUGAGUGAUGAAGGCCUUCGGGUUGUAAAGCUCUGUCUUCAGGGACGAUAAUGACGGUACCUGAGGAGGAAGCCACGGCUAACUACGUGCCAGCAGCCGCGGUAAUACGUAGGUGGCAAGCGUUGUCCGGAUUUACUGGGCGUAAAGGGAGCGUAGGCGGAUAUUUAAGUGGGAUGUGAAAUACCCGGGCUUAACUUGGGUGCUGCAUUCCAAACUGGAUAUCUGGAGUGUUGGAGAGGAAAGUGGAAUUCCUAGUGUAGCGGUGAAAUGCGUAGAGAUUAGGAAGAACACCAGUGGCGAAGGCGACUUUCUGGACAAUAACUGACGCUGAGGCUCGAAAGCGUGGGGAGCAAACAGGAUUAGAUACCCUGGUAGUCAAU